UACGUAGGGGGCAAGCGUUGUCCGGAUUUAUUGGGCGUAAAGAGCGUGUAGGCGGUUUGGUAGGUCCGUUGUGAAAACUCGAGGCUCAACCUCGAGACGCCGAUGGAAACCAUCAGACUAGAGUCCGGAAGAGGAGAGUGGAAUUCCUGGUGUAGCGGUGAAAUGCGCAGAUAUCAGGAAGAACACCGGUGGCGAAGGCGGAUCUCUGGGCCAUUACUGACGCUGAGGAGCGAAAGCGUGGGGAGCGAACAGG
rnacentral:rRNA from 1 species